GAGGGUAGAGCUCAGGGGCAGAGCACACGCUUGGCAUGCAUGAGGUCCUGGGUUCAAUCCCCAGUGCCUCCG
rnacentral:tRNA from 1 species